UGAUAGGCCCAGACAUACCCACAGCACUAUAUGUAACAUCUCUUCCUGAUCAGCGCCAUUCCCACGGUUUCAAAGAAAACAGCAAUGAGGAAUGCUCACCUCAGUGUCUGCAGCACCCUCCACGUCUCUCCUAGGCGAUGAGACCCAGUGGCUAGAAAUUCACCACGUCUAUUCUCAAGAUCCAUGCCAGGGAGAUCUUUGACUCUUGUGGGAAUCCCACUAUUGAGGUCGAUCUCUUGACCUCAAAAAGUCUCUUCAGAGCUGCUGUGCCCAGUGGUGCUUCAACUGGUAUCUGUGCGGUCCUAGAACUCCAGGACAAUAAUAAGACUCACCAUAUGGGGAAGGGUGUCUCAAAGGCUGUUGUGUACAUCAAUAAAACUAUUGCACCUGCCCUGGUUAGAAAAAAACUGAACGUCACAGAACAAGAGAAGAUUGACCAACUGAUGAUCGAGAUGGAUGGAACAGAAAAUAAAUCUCAAUUUGUGGGAACGCUAUUCUGGGGUUUCCCUCGCCGCCUGCAAAGCUGGCGCUGUUGUGAAGGGGGUUCCCCUGUACCACCACAUUGCCGACUUGCCUGGCAACCCCAAAGUCGUCUUGCCAGUCCCGGUGUUCAGUGUCAUCAAUGGCAGUUCUCAUGCUGGCAACAAGCUGGCCAUGCAGGAGUUCAUGGUCCUCCCAGUCGGUGUGGCAAACUUCAGGAAGCCAUGCCCAGUGGAGCAGAGGUUUACCACAACCUGAAGAAUGUCAUCAAGGAGAAAUAAGGGAAAGAUGCCACCAGCGUGGGGGAUGGAGGCGCAUUUGCUGCCAACAUCCUGGAGAAUAAAGAAGGCCUGGAGCUGCUGAAGACUGCGAUUGGGAAAGCUGGCUACACUGAUGAGGUGAUCAUCGGCAUGGACGCAGCGGCCUCCGAGUUCUUCAGGUCUGGGAAGUGUGACCUGGAAUUCAGGUCUCCCGACGACCCCAUAAGGUACAUCUCACCUGACCAUCUGGCUGAUCUGUCCAAGUCCUGCAUCAAAAACUACCCAGUGGUGUCUGUCAAAGGUCCCUUUGACCAGGAUGACUGGGGAGCUUGGCAGAAGUUCACGGCCAGUGCAGGAAUCCAGGUAGUGAGGGAUGGUCUCACAGUGACCAGCCCAAAGAGGACGGCCGAGGCGGUGAAUGAGAAGGCGUGCAGCUGCCUCCUGCUCAAAGUGAACCAGAUUUGCUCCAUGACUGAGUCCCUCCGGGCGUGCAAGCUGGCCCAGGCCAAUGGUUAGGGUGUCAUGGUGUCUCAUCCUUCUGGGGAGACUGAAAAUACCUUCAUUGCUGACGUGGUGGUGGGGCUGUGCCCUGGCAGCUCAAGACUGGUGCCCCUUGCUGAUCUGAGCGCUUGGCCAAGUACAACCAGCUCCUCAGAACUGAAGAGGAGCUUGGCAGCAAGGCUAAGUUUGCUGGCAGGAACUUCAGAAACCCCCCGGCCAACUAAGCUGUGGGCAGGCAAGCCCUUCAGCCACCUGGUGGCUAAUUAGACCCCUCCCCUCGUGUCAGCUCGGGCAGCCGAAGGCCCCUGACCAACGUUUGUAGGGGCCGCUGCUAGUGAGCUCCCCUCGCCCACCGCCGUGGAGUUUGCACCGCUUCUUUAGAACUUCUACAGAAGCAGGUUGCAGUGAGCCGAGAUCAUGCCACUGCACUCCAGUCUGGUGACAGAGCGAGACUCCAUCUCAAAAAAAAAAAAAAAAAAAAAGAACUUCUACAGAAGCCAAGCUCCCUGGAACCCUGUUGGCAGCUCUAACUUUGCGGUCAUGUAAUUGGCCCAAAUCAUUGUUUUUCUCGCCUCACUUUCCACCAAGUGUCUGGAGCCACGUGACCCUCCGGUGUCAUCUCCAGGGUGGCCACAGGCAAGAUCCCCAGUGAUUUUGUGCUCAAAAUAAAAAGCCUCAGUGACUCAUGAGAAAAAA